rnacentral:rRNA from 1 species
UACGUAGGGGGCUAGCGUUGUCCGGAUUUAUUGGGCGUAAAGAGCGAUGUAGGCGGCCAGGUAGGUCUGCUGUGAAAACUCGAGGCUCAACCUCGAGACGUCGGCGGAAACCAUCUGGCUAGAGUCCGGAAGAGGAGAGUGGAAUUCCUGGUGUAGCGGUGAAAUGCGCAGAUAUCAGGAAGAACACCCGUGGCGAAGGCGGCUCUCUGGGACGGUACUGACGCUGAGACGCGAAAGCGUGGGGAGCGAACAGG